rnacentral:rRNA from 1 species
GGCGUAAGCGCGCGCAGGCGGUCCUUUAAGUCUGAUGUGAAAGCCCACGGCUCAACCGUGGAGGGUCAUUGGAAACUGGGGGACUUGAGUGCACAAGAGAAGAGUGGAAUUCCACGUGUAGCGGUGAAAUGCGUAGAGAUGUGGAGGAACACCCGUGGCGAAGGCGACUCUUUGGUCUGUAACUGACGCUGAGGCGCGAAAGCGUGGGGAGCAAACAGGAUUAGAUACCCUGGUAGUCCACCCCGUAAACGAUGAGUGCUAAGUGUUAGAGGGUUUCCCCCCCCUAGUGCUGCAGCAAA